UACGUAGGGUGCGAGCGUUGUCCGGAAUUACUGGGCGUAAAGAGCUCGUAGGUGGUUUGUCGCGUUGUUCGUGAAAACUCACAGCUUAACUGUGGGCGUGCGGGCGAUACGGGCAGACUGGAGUACUGCAGGGGAGACUGGAAUUCCUGGUGUAGCGGUGGAAUGCGCAGAUAUCAGGAGGAACACCGGUGGCGAAGGCGGGUCUCUGGGCUGUAACUGACGCUGAGGAGCGAAAGCGUGGGGAGCGAACAGG
rnacentral:rRNA from 1 species